CGGGACAUGGCCUAGCGGUAAGGGCACCUGCUUUGGGAGCAGGGGAUCGUGAGUUCGAAUCUCACUGUCCCGA
rnacentral:tRNA from 2 species